rnacentral:rRNA from 1 species
GCAGUCGCACGAAGGUUUCGGCCUUAGUGGCGGACGGGUGAGUAACGCGUAGGAAUCUAUCCGUGGGUGGGGGAUAACUCUGGGAAACUGGAGCUAAUACCGCAUGAUACCUGAGGGUCAAAGGCGCAAGUCGCCUGCGGAGGAGCCUGCGUUUGAUUAGCUUGUUGGUGGGGUAAUGGCCUACCAAGGCGAUGAUCAAUAGCUGGUCUGAGAGGAUGAUCAGCCACACUGGGACUGAGACACGGCCCAGACUCCUACGGGAGGCAGCAGUGGGGAAUAUUGGACAAUGGGGGCAACCCUGAUCCAGCAAUGCCGCGUGUGUGAAGAAGGUUUUCGGAUUGUAAAGCACUUUCGGCGGGGACGAUGAUGACGGUACCCGCAGAAGAAGCCCCGGCUAACUUCUUGGCAGCAGCCGCGGUAAUACGAGGGGGGGGGGGGGGU